rnacentral:rRNA from 1 species
GACGAACGCUGGCGGCGUGCUUAACACAUGCAAGUCGUACGGUAACGCCCUAUCGGGGGUACAUGAGUGGCGAACGGGUGAGUAACACGUGAGUAACCUGCCCACUACUUUGGGAUAACGCUAGGAAACUGGUGCUAAUACCGGAUAUGUGCCCCUGCUGCAUGGGGGGGGUUGGAAAGCUCCGGCGGUGAUGGAUGGACUCGCGGCCUAUCGGCUUGUUGGUGGGGUAGUGGCCUACCGAGGCGGCGACGGGUAGCCCGCCAGAGGGUGUGAGCGGCGGCAUAGAGUCUGAGGGGAGGCAGCAGCUCCGACGAGAGGCAACAGGGGGGAAGAUUGCUCAAGGGGCGCAGGGCUGAUGCAGCAGCGCCGCGUGCGGGAUAACGGCCUUCGGGUUGUAGAACGCUUUCAGCAGGGACGAAGCUUUUUGUGACGGUACCUGAAGAAGAAGCACCGGCUAACUACGUG